UCGUACGAGAAAGUGGAGCAAUCCAUGAGUAAAGUGGCGACCGGGUGAGUAACACGUGACUACCUACCUUCUAGUGGGGGAUAACUCCGGGAAACCGGAGCUAAUACCGCAUAACAUCGCAAGAUCAAAGCAGCAAUGCGCUGGAAGAGGGGGUCGCGGCUGAUUAGCUAGUUGGUAGGGUAAUGGCCUACCAAGGCGAAGAUCGGUAUCCGGCCUGAGAGGGCGCACGGACACACUGGAACUGAAACACGGUCCAGACUCCUACGGGAGGCAGCAGUGGGGAAUUUUGCGCAAUGGGGGAAACCCUGACGCAGCAACGCCGCGUGGAGGAUGAAGUCCCUUGGGACGUAAACUCCUUUCGACCAAGACGAUAAUGACGGUACUGGUGGAAGAAGCACCGGCUAACUCUGUGCCAGCAGCCGCGGUAAUACAGAGGGUGCGAGCGUUGUUCGGAAUUAUUGGGCGUAAAGGGCGCGUAGGCGGCGCCACAAGUCACCUGUGAAAUCCCCGGGCUCAACUCGGGGCCUGCAGGCGAAACUGUGGUGCUGGAGUAUGGGAGAGGUGCGUGGAAUUCCCGGUGUAGCGGUGAAAUGCGUAGAUAUCGGGAGGAACACCUGUGGCGAAAGCGGCGCACUGGACCAUAACUGACGCUGAGGCGCGAAAGCUAGGGGAGCAAACAGGAUUAGAUACCCUGGUAGUCCUAGCCCUAAACUAUGGAUGCUUGGUGUAGCAGGUACCCAAUCCUGCCGUGCCGAAGCUAACGCGAUAAGCAUCCCGCCUGGGGAGUACGGUCGCAAGGCUGAA
rnacentral:rRNA from 1 species